CUCUCGCUCUUAAUGAUGCCCCACA
rnacentral:misc_RNA from 1 species